rnacentral:lncRNA from 1 species
CGUCCACCGGGGCUCCGCUCCCCUCAGAGACAGGGCUAGGAGGGUCCCCCGCGCUGGCCACUUUCGGGGUCUGCCGCCGCRCCCCCGCCGCAGGGCCGCCGAGAGGCCCCGGGGCUCUGCAGGCCCCCGCGCCCCGUCCGGGGGGUCCCCACUGUGAUGGCGGCCGCUGCGCGGUCCCCGUGGUGAGGGAGCUCCACCCCCCUUGUGAUGGCGCCCGUUGCCGCGGUGCCGCCAUUAGGCCUCCCCCGGCAGCGGCGGCAGCGAAGGACGAGGCAGGGCGGCGACCGGGGUGGCCGCGGAGGGGACGAGGCGCAGGCUGCCAGGCCCCGACGACGCGCCGGCCGGCGGCCAUGGCAGAGGAAUCGGAAGCGCAGCUCUGGAUUGGAAACUCAGCCGGUGCCAUUCCUGUUUCAUGCUAUUGGAAGGAGGCAGCGUUGCUAUCUCUCUGGCAGAGAACUCUCUACCCUGGGAGGAAAUUCAAAGAAGUCUUACAGUGAAUCACACCAUGCUCAGGAACAGGUCUUCUAGCUCAUCAAUGAGGUACAGCUCACAAAACUGAACUAUAGCAGCAUGGCAUUUAUCCCUGUUAUGUACGUAAACCUCCCAGUGUUGCAUGAAGAAAAUGUCCUCAGCCAUUACAUGGCUUCUUAAUGGCAUGUAAGGUUASGGUGCAAAACCUGCUGAAUUUUUGGAAGGAGCCCCAUCGUCUUUGUGUGGUUUGGCCAAGACACCUGCUAAUUAAAA